GGGCUCGCUUUGACAGCACAUACACUAAAAUUGCAACAAUACAGAUUAGCACGGCCCCUGCACAAGGGUGACAUGCAAAUCUGCGAGGUGUUCCAGUAAAAG
ensembl:snRNA U6 U6 spliceosomal RNA